GGUAGCUCAGUUGGUUAGAGCGUCCGACUGAUAAUCGGGAGAUCGAGGGUUCGAGUCCCUCC
rnacentral:tRNA from 1 species